AGCCUGAUGCAGCCAUGCCGCGUGUAUGAAGAAGGCCUUCGGGUUGUAAAGUACUUUCAGUAGGGAGGAAGGUUCAUGCGUUAAUAGCGUAUGGAUUUGACGUUACCUACAGAAGAAGCACCGGCUAACUCCGUGCCAGCAGCCGCGGUAAUACGGAGGGUGCGAGCGUUAAUCGGAAUUACUGGGCGUAAAGCGCAUGCAGGUGGUUAGUUAAGUCAGAUGUGAAAGCCCGGGGCUCAACCUCGGAAUUGCAUUUGAAACUGGCUGACUAGAGUACUGUAGAGGGGGGUAGAAUUUCAGGUGUAGCGGUGAAAUGCGUAGAGAUCUGAAGGAAUACCGGUGGCGAAGGCGGCCCCCUGGACAGAUACUGACACUCAGAUGCGAAAGCGUGGGGAGCAAACAGGAUUAGAUACCCUGGUAGUCCACGCCGUAAACGAUGUCUACUUGGAGGUUGUGGCCUUGAGCCGUGGCUUUCGGAGCUAACGCGUUAAGUAGACCGCCUGGG
rnacentral:rRNA from 2 species